rnacentral:rRNA from 1 species
UACGUAGGGUGCAAGCGUUAAUCGGAAUUACUGGGCGUAAAGCGUGCGCAGGCGGUGAUGUAAGACAGGUGUGAAAUCCCGGGCUUAACCUGGGAACUGCAUUUGUGACUGCAUCGCUGGAGUGCGGCAGAGGGGGAUGGAAUUCCGCGUGUAGCAGUGAAAUGCGUAGAUAUGCGGAGGAACACCGAUGGCGAAGGCAAUCCCCUGGGCCUGCACUGACGCUCAUGCACGAAAGCGUGGGGAGCAAACAGG